rnacentral:rRNA from 1 species
UUGACUGUGCUAAGGUAGCAUAAUAAAUUGGCUUUUAAUUGAAGUCGGGAAUGAAAGGGUGUUUGGAGCUAUUCUGUCUUAUUUUUAUUUUUUAAAAAUUACUAAUGAGGUGAAAAUUCCUCAAUGUUUUAUAAUAGACGAGAAGACCCUAAGAAUUAUUACAACUAUUAAAUUGAAUUAAUAAAAGUUUUUGUUGGGGCAACAGCUUUGAAUAACCAAAGUUAAAAUUUACUAUAAAAAGAUUAUAUUAAAAACGGAUUUAAUUACCUUAGGGAUAACAGCAUAAUUAAAUUUUAGAUUGUGACCUCGAUGUUGGAUUAAGGCCU